UCGCUUGUGCCAGGUAUAAGUUUAAGCGAUCUGUGAGCCUGAGUUCGUGCUGCCUCCUAGGUUAAGUAACUGGUAGACUCGAAGAGACUCGAGAAUACGCCGCCUAGGUGACACGGAAACCGUUCAAAACGGGCCGGCGGAACUUCGCUGGGUCCCAGCCCGGAGCGGCUCCGCUCAGCCCCGACUGACUAACUGUGGCUCCGGGCGGAGCUUGCAGACCGCACUGCGCUCACCUGACGUCAGAGGCAGCCCCUGGCCAGGUCUUUUCAGCCUCACCGGACUGGUAGGGACUAGGCAGCCUGGUUGGGGGAGGUCCCGGUCUGUCACCCAGUGCAACGGAGGCUCAAGAGGUUUUCUCUACAGCAAGACCCAUGUGUUGAGAGGCGUGGAGAUGCGCUUCGGGAGAGAUGGAAGACGAAGCGGAUGAGCCCAGGGACUUUGAUUCUGAGGGCGCCGGUGGCACGAUCGCUGGCUGUUUGACUCCUUUUCUCCCCACAAGUGUGGGCCUUCCCUGGAACCCCUUGUCAGGCUUCUGACACAGGGUCAGGGCAGCUGUUCUCAGCCAGGAUGGACACCGCCUGUGUUUCAGCUCAGACAUGCUAAGUAGAGGCAGCCGACCACAGACUUUACCGUUGUCAUCAGCAGAUUUGCACCAAUCUACUUCACAGAAGAUGGUUAGCAAUGAAGAAACUCUACAUGGUGUUUACUUUCUUUGUGGCAAAAGCUAAGCACUGGGCAAGAUACUGCCCUUUCUCAACUGAUGGCAGUAUACUGUCCAAUUGAACACACAGGAAACAAAAGAAAAUGACUGCUGUACUUUGCCAAGAUAAAGUGGGGCAGUCCUUCAAAAAUCCUGCCUCACAGAGAAGUCUGUCAGAUAUGCUAGACCUGGAGGUAAGAGCUGGAAGCACCAAGGUUGCAGAGAAACCUUGGGGGUCUGUCCAGGGAGCUGUUUCUGUCAUUUCUUAGUUUUGGAAGUUCUUUGCUCUACCCUUCCUGAUUACUCAGGUAAUUUUAUAUCUUUCUCAGGUCUCUCAUGGAAUUGAAGCCUACACAGUUAUUGUUAUACUUUUCCUUGUUACCACACUCAGAAAAAAUUCUCACAAAAGAUGUGUAAAAUGUGUGAGGUUUAAUGACAGUUUUGGAUUGGUAAUACAAAUUAUGAUAGAAAGUAUAUUAGGUACAACACUUUGGACUUACCAAGAUAGGAUACAUAAUGGAGUAUCUUCUCUGAAUUUCUCAAAUGCUAAUGGACUAGACAUUGUUAAUGUAAUUAGUGCCUUACAUAUUUAUUUAUUGUUAUUGUACUAACUGCAUAUACUUUUUAUAUGUUACUUAAAACUUUUGAUUUUUACUUAGACAAAACGGAGUAAUAUUGUGUGAUAUUUUGUUUGUGUUCUGACAAAUAAAACUUGCUUGGAGUCAGAGACUGGAACUAGCCACUAGUUAACCAUAGGGGUCUGGAGGUCUGUACUGAGAGGAAAUGGGAAGAGAACAGGUGGGGCAGAGAAAGGAUCUCAACCUUUUUUUGUUGAAGGAAUGGAAGAGGUAGGGAGUCACUGGUGGUGUUCCUUUGCUUCUCUGGUCUUUCAGGUUUUUACCCUGAUAUUUGACUUGUGUUUUUUAUUGAUAAAAUUUUUCUGGUUUCGAGUGGAGACUGAGGAGGCAUAUUUUCAAAAAGGGUCAAAAGUCAGGGUUACCACAGAUGGUUCAGUCCUCCAGAAAUACUACCCUUGUGGGAUGUGUGACCCGGUCACAAACAUCUUGUUCUGCAGGCUGAACAGCAGGGUUACAUUCCCGACACAAACUGCAUACGUGUACGACGUGUGGAAGGCAAUUCUCCUUCAGUGUAAACACCCCCAACCCCAACACAGAGGAGGGAAAGGUCUCAGUGACGACGAGGACGAGGAUCCCUGUGUGAGAACCACACAGUUUCCAGUGCAGAAAUCCUUAGCUAUGUGAAGAGAGUAGGGAAAACUCAGGACCUCUCCAGCAUGAGACCAGAAGGAGCUGACCUGUACACUGUGGAUGCUGGGGACCCCUCUCAGUGGAGGUGGACAUUGCAGAUGCAGUGAAUGUGGGAAACAGUCAGCCACAAAAAUGGGCUUCCCAAGCACCAGAGUAUCCAGACUGCAGAACGACCCUCUAAGUGCCCUGAUGUGAGAAACAUUCAUCAGACGGUCCCAUCGUGCUAGGCGUAAGAAAGCUCACACUGGAGAAAGACUCUCUGUGUGUCAUGAAUGUGGGAAAACUUUCAGCCAAAGAUAUUACCUUGUUCAGCAUGAACAGUUCCACCCUGGGGACAGCCCAUAUUCCUGCAGCAGAUGUGGGGAAGUCAGCAUGAAUUGGGUUGUUCAGUGCUUAGAGAACCCUGGCAUGUACUACCUCAUGUGUUAUCCCUGGAGGAUAGCAGGCAAGGGGGAAGCCCAUUACAGUCUGCAACAAAUACAUCCAUAACCUGGGUUUGAUUAAUAAACAUGGAGGGCAGCAAAUCCAAGAAUGUCAGCAUCUAAAUGUGCUUCUGGAAUGCUCUGCUCACUGUCGCUGUGAGAGGUGAGGGUGCACACAGAGUCUCAGGCCUUCCCUGGCUGUUUCUCUGUAGAUACUCAGAGCAAUGGUAGAUGUCCAAAUGUUGCUGGACUCCCGGGCUACGUGGACCAGAACAAGGAGAAAGGAAAGAACUACCAGUCCAUGUGUGUGACUUGGGAUUCAAAGUCAAUCUUUAUUACUCAUGAUGCUCUGUGUCCUUCGAGGUGGACCUGUGUCCCAAAGAGGGUGAGACCAGUGUACAUUUGCCAGACUUUCUGGAUUUUCGGUAGAGAGGAAAUCUAUACUUUAGUGCUUUUAACCAUUCCAUUUGUACUGAACCAUUUCUUUUAUUAAAGCUCUAUUGAGGUUGAAUUGAUGUGCCCUGCGCUGUGCAUAGUUAAAGUAUGAAAUAUGGUAGGUUUUAUCAAAUCAUCACUGCAGUCACAAUGACAAGCAUCUUCAUUGCUCCUAAUGUUCCUUCCUUCCACCUUAUAGCUCUUGUUUUAUUAUUUUAAUUAAUUUAUUAAUUUUUUAAAGAUGUAUUAGUGCUCUGUCUGCAUGUACACCUGCAUACCAGAAGAGGGCAUCAGAUUCCACUAAAGAUGGCUAUAAGUCACCAAGUGGUUACUGGGAAUUGAACUCAGACCUUCUGGAAGAUCAGCCAGUGCUCUUACCCACUGAUCCAUCUCCCAGCCCCUUCUCCCAUUUAUAGUCAAUCACUUCUCUCCUAGCUGCCCAUCCCAGUGUUCACUGACUGAUUUUACUCGGGUGUCACUCCUCACCUACCCUGUCUAAGACAGGUCUCUGUUGCUGUCUGGAUUCCAGACAGACUUCUUUGUAUACACCUAUCUCCUCUCAUCUCUCAACAAGAGCACUGGAAUUACAGAUAUAUGCUACCAAGUCUGGCCUUAGAUGGGUUCUAGGAUUCGAACUCAUGUCACCAGUAAAGCACAGAAGCACUCUACCCAUUGAAACUUCUUCCAAGACCUUCUCUCCUCUCUUUAGUUCAGCUUCUACUAUAAUAGUUUUCCCCAUUCUAAUUUUUGGUUUAUUAUUAACUUUUGUUUUUAUUUUUGAGGCAGGGUCUCUCUAUGUAGCCCUGGCUGUCCUGGAACUUUCUAUGUAGAUCAGGCUAUGACAAAUGAUGACCUUUCUUGCAGACCAGGAGAGUCUCCCAAGUCAUCUUCAGAGUCACGGCACUGUUAUAGACUGACCUAUAAGGAGCCAGCUGCCCUGUGAUGAAGCCCAGAGGCAACAUAUGAAAUGUGAUCAAUCACUUCGAGUUUCUGCACCAUGCCUGCCCCAGCGUCAUAGACUGUAUCCCUGAAAACUGUAAGUGAUUGUGGCAUUUGCCCUGCUUUGAAGGAGGAGCUUGCUCUUUUCCUUGGCCCAUCUGUGUCUGACUAUAUGAAUUUCGUGAGCCAGUACACGAACAACUCUGCCACAUUGGAAGUUCUUGAAACUAUGAAGAUAUGUGCUGAUAACAAGCUGACAGAGGAAGACAGGGCGAAUGCACAGAUUUUGGUGG